AUAUUUGGUCGCACUCCCUCGAAUAGGCUCUGUGCACUAGAACCCGGAAGUCAACUGACGGUGUCGGCAUUCUAGUUUCCGGUCUACUUACUGACCCAGUCCAUAGCGUGAACAUGUCUGGCUUUUCUAGAUGUCUCCAAGACCUACCGACAAUAAAUGUUAACGUUGUUCACCGCAUUGUUGGUGCUAGUUCCCUUGCCCCUACAAGCAAGCGGGAAAAAGGAUUUAAGCUCUAUAUUUCGAGUUAUUUGCGUAACUUUGAGGGUAGGUGACAGACUACCGGCUUUUUAGUGAACAUUUUUUAGCGACAACAUUUUUUUUCUGUAUUUAAAACACUUAACUGUCCGUUGUAGUACUAACUGUACCAACGUGUGUCCAUUUUUUUAGUGUCUAGCAAAGAUAAGGGAACAUCGGAGGUGAUUAUCAGAGCAUUGUGCCACAGGUCCAUGAAGAAAUCAGAGAAGCCUCACAGCUUGAGUGUAUGUUAAAGCUAUCGAUAAACCAACCGUUAUAAACAAACCGUUAUACGCCUGUUUCUUUUAUAACAGUGUCCGUGGGGGGAUUUAGCUGAGGUCAUAUGUUUAAUCAAAUAAUCAAUACAAACAUGUAUAAUUAAAAAAACAGCACAAAUGUACACACAAGCGCACUUUCCUCGUCAGCCACCACAACACGCAGAAAGCUCCAGCCGAGAGCGCCCACCACGGCCCCAACACAGUGCAAGCACACGAGCCGCACACAGACACAAACACACCAGCUUCACAUUGCCUCAAACUCCACAAAUGUCUCUUUUUGUAUAGCACUGUAGUGCUCACGGUCAACACACACUGUACUAGUAGCACUGUACUCAUGGUCUAAGACCAUCGGAACGGGUAGCUCAGGCUCUUCGGGGUCGGAGCAAGGCACGGGACUCGCCGGUCUCUCUCUUCGCUCCCAGCCUCCCACACACCAGCCCGUGUUACCGGCUGGAAGCUGAGCACAACGGUACACAGCAGUGUUGGUUUGAUCCGCCUUCAUUCCGUUGAAGCUUGUGAAGUCUUCUAACAUUAAAUUUCCGUUGUUUGGUUGGGUUUUCCAUCUUUUUACUAUUUAUAGUUGCCGUGGUAACUGAUACGGGAAGUAGACCGGAAACUAGUAUGCCGACACCCGGCGACACCGGAAGUUCGCUUCUAGAGUUGUGCACAGAGCCUAUUCGUUUCGCUCAGUAAGAGAACCAAAAAACGAAUAAACGAACUGAAAUUUAGAUUUUCGUUUUCUUGUCAAAACGAAAAAACUUUUUCUGGUUUCUGCUUGCGUCAAUUAUUCCCAGAAAACAGAGUAAUAAAACGUACCUUGCUCGUUAUGGCCGCACUUGAACCAUAUGAGGAUUAUAUUCGUGAACUAUUUCACAAUGGAAAGACAUACGACGUGAUCAGUACCGCUCUAAGGCAAUCUGGUGCACCGAAGUGCUCCGUUAUGACGGUGAGGAGGUUCUGUGUGGAGCAUGUUACGUAUUUUAGGAACACAAGCUGUAUUUCCCUCACUUAACCAAUAGGGGGUAGGACCAAACAUAUAAGCCGUAAAUACUACACAUAGCCACAAGGGAAAGCAGGACAUUACUGAAGGCUGUAAUAGAUACUUUAGCCACAGAGGGCAGCACCACAGACCAGGCGAGGAAAACGGAGGAUUACGUCACACCGGUUCCUCUCCAAGUCUUCCGGUCCUCGCUGAGUCCAUAAGAAGCCUCCAGCUCGUGGAGGCAGAUCAGAACUCUCUCGGCAGCGAUUAGACAUACGUGGGUUUAUGCCUUUGAUCAGCUAGGAGAAUACUCUCGCACGUGCUUAGAACACAUCUUCAAUCUCUCUUUACUUCAGAGCAUCAGUUUACCAUACCGAAAAUACUUUAUACAAAUAAAGUCUCUUUAAAGCUAUUCCUUUGGAUUCGACCCCUCUUUCCCUGAAGAACAUUGCAAGCACAACCUGCGAAGAAGAAAUCUAGUUUCCGACACGGAUUUGGAAAUGGCAGUGGUUUCUUCCAUCAACAAGACGGGACCGACCUAUGGUCGAACAUUUAUGACGGGAUACCUAUCAUCGAUCGGUGUGCAUGCUGGGGAAAGCAGUUGGGAGAGUCUUACGAGACGUUCAUCAGCCAUACCACGAUUUGCGAAGACAUGGUGCUCGUAAUCUGAACCCCAUUCCCUACCAUGCAGAAUAUAUGGGCCAUAAACUGCAUAUGGAUCAAAAUGAGAAGCUCGGCAUGUUCGGUGUCACAUAGGCCUAUGUGGUGGCAGUUGACGGCAACAGCAGCAAAAUUGUUGCAAAUGCCACCAUGCCUGUGAAAAACAAUCUGAUUAUUUAUGAGCAGGUAUACAGAUGUGCAGUGGUUGCCAAUGGGAUGUGGGACCAAGUCAGAGUUGACCAUGGGAAGGAGUUCUAUCUGUGCCUGUACAUCCAGGAAAUCCUUUCCAGGCAAAGGUAUAACCUCAGCAGGCAACCAUACUUGCAGACUACAUCUUCAAGGAAUCUUAGGGUGGAGCGGAUUUGGCCUGUAGUCAAUAACCGGGUAAACUAACCACUGAAGCAGGCCCUGGUGCACCUGACUGACCAAGAGGCCAUAGACAUGCAGGACAACACAGUGAAGUUCUGUGUGUCUAACCUGACGUGCCAACUCAGCCAGAUUGGGCUAGACAGGGUUGUGCAGUCAUGGAAUGCACAUAGGAUUCCAGGUAGAGGAAUACCUAAUGAACUAGCUGCAGCAGGAUGCCCAGCACAGAUAUCGGAGGACCUGCUACCCAGUGCUUCUGUUGCUGCUGACAGAUAUGAGCAGGAGUUUGGAAGCUCUCUCAGCAGGGAGGCAGCCUUUGGUGUGGACCCCUUUCACACUGAGGAAGACAGGAGCCGGGCACAAAGGGACUUUGCGGUGGCCUACCCUGAUCCCUCUGUCAUUUUUGACAAUGUGGUCAACAAUGACCAUAGUGGAUUUCAUGAAGCCCUUUUCUGCCUGCUGAAUGCCACGGAGAGGAAUGUGUGAAAUGUUUUGAUGGAUGUGUGACUGCCUGUGUAUAUUGUUAAGUGUUAAGUGUGAUUAACUGUAAAUGUUCUUAAUGAUGCUGUUAAUAAUGUAUGUGUUUAUCUGCCGUUUUCACAGUGGAGUUUGAAGAAAAGACUUCAAUAAAACCUGUUGCAAGGAAACCACUUGUGUCUGCGAAUGCUUGAGAGGGAUUUAUAGAACUGUCAUAACCGGACAGCUGCUAAAUAUUUUACAUUUGUCCAUCUACAUGUGAAUCACUAUUUUAUAACCAAACAAAAUAGUAUGUAAAAUUAAUGACAAUAGAACGAUUUUCAGAAAGAACUACAAUUUAAUGGGCAAAUAACAAUUUAACACGACA